CGUAACAAGGUUUCCGUAGGUGAACCUGCGGAAGGAUCAUUACAUUUUAGCUGCCGCAAGGCAGCAACCGCCCACCGCGAGGUGGGGUCGGCACCCUCUGUCUACUUGUACCUCUUGUUGUUUCCUCGGCAGGCUUGCCUGCCGCAAGGAACCCCUUAAACUCUUGCAUCUAAAGUAUUACAAAACUCUGAUAACUACUUAAUUAUCACAACUUUCAACAAUGGAUCUCUUGGUUCUGGCAUCGAUGAAGAACGCAGCGAAAUGCGAAAAGUAGUGUGAAUUGCAGAAUUCCGUGAAUCAUCGAAUCUUUGAACGCACAUUGCGCCCCUCGGUAUUCCGUGGGGCAUGCCUGUUCGAGCGUCAUUUACACCCUCAAGCUCUGCUUGGUGUUGGGCGUCUGUCCCGCCUUCGCGCGUGGACUCGCCCCAAAGUUAUUGGCAGCGGUCGUGCCAGCUUCUCGUGCAGCACAUUGCGCUUCUUGAAGCCCUGGUGGAUCAGCAUCCAGCAAGCCUUUUUAUUAACUUGACCUCGGAUCAGGUAGGGAUACCCGCUGAACUUAAGCAUAUCAAA
rnacentral:rRNA from 1 species